rnacentral:rRNA from 1 species
UACGUGAGGGGCGAGCGUUGUCCGGAUUUAUUGGGCGUAAAGAGCGUGUAGGCGGCCAGGUAGGUCCGUUGUGAAAACUCGAGGCUCAACCUCGAGACGUCGAUGGAAACCAUCUGGCUAGAGUCCGGGAAGAGGAGAGUGGAAUUCCUGGUGUAGCGGUGAAAUGCGUAGAUAUCGAGAGGAACACCUGCGGCGAAGGCGGGUGCUGGGCCGACACUGACGCUGAUGCGGCGAAAGCCAGGGGAGCGAACGGG